UACGAAGGGGGCUAGCGUUGCUCGGAAUCACUGGGCGUAAAGCGCACGUAGGCGGAUUGUUAAGUCAGGGGUGAAAUCCUGGAGCUCAACUCCAGAACUGCCUUUGAUACUGGGAGUCUUGAGUUCGGGAGAGGUGAGUGGAACUGCGAGUGUAGAGGUGAAAUUCGUAGAUAUUCGCAAGAACACCAGUGGCGAAGGCGACUACCUGGCCUGUUCUUGACGCUGAGGCGCGAAAGCUAGGGGAGCAAACGGG
rnacentral:rRNA from 1 species